rnacentral:rRNA from 1 species
UACGGAGGGGGCUAGCGUUGUCCGAAGUUACUGGGCGUAAAGCGCGCGUAGGCGGGUUGGUAAGUCCGCUGUGAAAGCCCGGAGCUCAACUCCGGAGGGUCGGUGGAUACUGCCAGUCUUGAAGGUGCUAGGGGGAGAUGGAAUUACCGGUGUAGCGGUGAAAUGCGUAGAUAUCGGGAGGAACACCUGUGGCGAAAGCGGCGCACUGGACCACAUCUGACGCUGAGGCGCGAAAGCUAGGGGAGCAAACAGG